rnacentral:rRNA from 1 species
GAUGAACGCUGGCUACAGGCUUAACACAUGCAAGUCGAGGGGAAACGACGGGGAAGCUUGCUUCCCCGGGCGUCGACCGGCGCACGGGUGAGUAACGCGUAUCCAACCUGCCUCUGACUGAGGGAUAACCCGUCGAAAGUCGGCCUAAUACCUCAUGGCAUCGUCUGCGGGCAUCCAACGACGAUUAAAGAUUUCAUCGGUCAGGGAUGGGGAUGCGUCUGAUUAGCUUGUUGGCGGGGUAACGGCCCACCAAGGCUACGAUCAGUAGGGGUUCUGAGAGGAAGGUACCACAUAUUUGAAAGGGGACACGGGCCAAAAUACUACGGGAGGCAGCAGUGAGGAAUAUAGGUCGAUGGGCGGGAGCCUGAACCAGCCAAGUAGCGUGCAGGAGGUCGGCCCUAUGGGUUGUAAGCUGCUUUUAUGGGAGGGUAAAGUGAGGGACGUGUCCUUCAUUGCAGGUACCGCAUGAAUAAGGUCCGGCUAAUUCCGUG